rnacentral:tRNA from 1 species
GGGCGACUAGCUCAGUUGGUUAGAGCGCAACACUGAUAAUGUUGAGGUCUCAGGUUCGAUUCCUGAGUCGCCCA